rnacentral:rRNA from 1 species
AUGCUAGAAGUUAAGGGGUUUCCGACCCUUAGUGCCGCAACUAACGCAAUAAACACUCCGCCGCGUUUUAUAGGGUGCUAUACUUUUACUCAAAGGAAUUGACGGGGGCCCUUAUAAAAGGUGAAGCAUGUGGUUUAAUUCGAAGCAACGCGAAUAACCUUACCAGGUCUUUACAUCCUCUGAAUAUCCUUAAAAUAGGACGUCCCCUUCAGGGUCUUAGUGAAAGGUGUUACCUGGUUGUCGUCACCUCGUGUCGUGAAAUGUUUGGUUAACUCCCGCGAACACGCGCAACCCUUGAUCUUAGUUGCCAGCAUUCAGUUCGGGCACUCUAUCGUGACUGCCGGAGACCAUCCCGAGGAAGGCGGGGAUGACGUCAAAUCAUCAUGCCCCUUAUGACCUGGGCUACACACGAUGCAUACAAUGGAUUUUUUUUUUGGGAAGCUAACACCACGAGGUUAAGCCAAUCCCACAAAGCCUGUUCUCAGUGUCCGGAUCGCAGUCUGCAACUCUAAGUGCGUGAAGCUGGAAUCGAAUAGUAAUCGCGGGAUCGGCAUGCCGCGGUGAAUACGUUCCCGGUGCGUGAACACACCGUUCAACUCACCACGAGUAAUUUGCAACUCCCGAACUCUGUGAGGUAACUUUGUAUGAGCCAUCCCCCUAAGG